rnacentral:rRNA from 1 species
CCUACGGGCGGCAGCAGUGGGGAAUAUUGCACAAUGGGGGAAACCCUGAUGCAGCGACGCCGCGUGAGUGAAGAAGCGUUUCGGCGCGUAAAGCUCUGUCAGCGGGGAAGAAACACGGUUCGCUAGAGCCGCGGACGGUACCCGACCAAGAAGCCACGGCUAACUCCGUGCCAGCAGCCGCGGUAAUACGUAGGGGGCAAGCGUUAUCCGGAUUCAAUGGGGGUAAAGGGAGCGUAGACGGCGAGACAAGGCUGGGGGGAAAGGCCGGGGCCCAACCCCGGGACUGCCCUGGAAAGUGCCUGGCUGGAGUGCAGGAGAGGUAAGUGGAAUUCGUGGUGUAGCGGUGAAAUGCGUAGAUAUUAGGAGGAACACCAGUGGCGAAGGCGGCUUACUGGACUGUAACUGACGUUGAGGCUCGAAAGCGUGGGGAUCAAACAGGAUUAGAUACCCCUGUAGUC